rnacentral:rRNA from 1 species
UACGUAGGGGGCAAGCGUUAUCCGGAUUUACUGGGUGUAAAGGGAGCGUAGACGGCGAAGCAAGUCUGAUGUGAAAGGCAUGGGCUCAACCCGUGGACUGCAUUGGAAACUGUUUAGCUGGAGUGCCGGGGGGGUAAGCGGAAUUCCUAGUGCAGCGGUGAAAUGCGUAGAUAUUAGGAGGAACACCAGUGGCGAAGGCGGCUUACUGGACGGCAACUGACGUUGAGGCUCGAAAGCGUGGGGAGCAAAC